UUAACCUCCACCUACAUUGAAGACAGGUCACAGCUGGGAUUAAAUCAUAAGUAUGGUGUCAUUAACCUCCACCUUCGUUGAGGACAGGUCACAGCUGGGAUUAAAUCAUAAGUAUUGUGUCAUUAACCUCCAUCUACGUUGAGGACAGGUAGCAGCUGGGAUUAAAUCAUAAGUAUUGUGUCAUUAACCUCCACCUACAUUGAAGACAGGUCACAGCUGGGAUUAAAUCAUAAGUAUGGUGUCAUUAACCUCCACCUUCGUUGAGGACAGGUCACAGCUGGGAUUAAAUCAUAAGUAUUGUGUCAUUAACCUCCACCUACAUUGAAGACAGGUCACAGCUGGGAUUAAAUCAUAAGUAUGGUGUCAUUAACCUCCACCUACGUUGAGGACAGGUCACAGCUGGUAUUAAAUCAUAAGUAUGGUGUCAUUAACCUCCACCUACAUUGAGGACAGGUCACAGCUGGGAUUAAAUCAUAAGUAUGGUGUCAUUAACCUCCACCUACGUUGAGGACAGGUAGCAGCUGGGAUUAAAUCAUAAGUAUUGUGUCAUUAACCUCCACCUACAUUGAAGACAGGUCACAGCUGGGAUUAAAUCAUAAGUAUGGUGUCAUUAACCUCCACCUACGUUGAGGACAGGUCACAGCUGGUAUUAAAUCAUAAGUAUGGUGUCAUUAACCUCCACCUACAUUGAGGACAGGUCACAGCUGGGAUUAAAUCAUAAGUAUGGUGUCAUUAACCUCCACCUACGUUGAGGACAGGUCACAGCUGGUAUUAAAUCAUAAGUAUGGUGUCAUUAACCUCCACCUACGUUGAGGACAGGUCACAGCUGGGAUUAAAUCAUAAGUAUGGUGUCAUUAACCUCCACCUACGUUGAGGACAGGUCACAGCUGGUAUUAAAUCAUAAGUAUGGUGUCAUUAACCUCCACCUACAUUGAGGACAGGUCACAGCUGGGAUUAAAUCAUAAGUAUGGUGUCAUUAACCUCCACCUACGUUGAGGACAGGUCACAGCUGGGAUUAAAUCAUAAGUAUGGUGUCAUUAACCUCCACCUACGUUGAGGACAGGUC